rnacentral:rRNA from 1 species
UAUGGUGGUUAUAGUGCGGGUGUUCACCUCUUCCCAUUCCGAACAGAGAAGUUAAGCCCCGUAACGCCGAUGGUACUGCGGUAACACGUGGAAGAGUAGGUAGCCGCCAAAU